rnacentral:tRNA from 1 species
GUGGCUAUAGCUCAGCAUGGCAGAGCACCAGAUUGUGGAUCUGGCUGUCGAGGGUUCAAAUCCCUCUAGCCACCCCA